rnacentral:lncRNA from 1 species
ACAAGGAAAUAUAUGUAAAUACAUUCUGCUGAUUGCCUUCAGUGAUGAUAGCAAUAGAAUGUUGACUAUUCAGAAAUUAAUGUAUUCCAGCUUAAACUAAGACCUUCAGACAUAACCUUUCUAGCGCAAACCAACCAAGAUAGCAGGCAAUUUGCAACUGGGGAAUAUGCCAUUUCUCAUGUUAAGAUACUGUUCAGAGAAGAACAAACCAAUUAGACAAGAUCCUCAGACUAGGGUCCCAGAGAAGUCAGUUUAAAUUCUAUUUAUAAGACUCAUCAUUAAUCCUUAGAUAAGUCACUUGAUCUUUCUGUGCCAAUACCUGCCAACAGAAUAUUGAGAAUAAGAUGACCUGGCACUUGGUAUGUAGAGUAUAGGCACCACUGACCAACAGAACUUUCUGUAAUGAUGGAGGCGUUCUAAAUUUGCACUAACCGCUACAGCCACUGGCCACAUGUAGCUAUUGAGUACUUAAAAUAUGGCUAGUGUGAUUGAGGAACUGAAUUAAUUUACUUUUAAUUCAGUUAAAUUUAAUUAUUUUAUUUAUUUAUUUAU